GGCUAGACUGGAGGGUUAGGGGUCCUCUGUAAGCACACACCCCCUUUGGUGCAGUUGAAGUCCAAGAGGCGGCUUUUUGAAGGGAUAUCAGCCUUUAAAACCAACAUAGAAACUUCGUCCUACAGGAUUAUUGGUGAGUUGGGUUUUACUGUAGGGUAAAACUUAUUUCUCUUUAAUUUAGGAAUGUGUCAGGCCCGGGAGGGAGCAGCUCUACUAAUAACAACUAAUGCUUGUAGAUUAACGGGGUGGAGUUGUGUUUUUUAGAUCACUUAUAU
rnacentral:SRP_RNA from 1 species